rnacentral:rRNA from 1 species
GACGUAGGGCGCGAGCGUUGUCCGGAUUUAUUGGGCGUAAAGAGCUCGUAGGCGGCUUGUCGCGUCGACUGUGAAAACCCGCGGCUCAACUGCGGGCCUGCAGCCGAUACGGGCAGGCUAGAGUUCGGUAGGGGAGACUGGAAUUCCUGGUGUAGCGGUGAAAUGCGCAGAUAUCAGGUGGAACACCGAUGGCGAAGGCAGUGAUCUGGGCCAGUACUGACGCUGAGGAGCGAAAGCGUGGGGAGCAAACAGG